rnacentral:rRNA from 1 species
AUUGAACGCUGGCGGCAUGCUUUACACAUGCAAGUCGAACGGUAACAGGGAGCUUGCUCCGCUGACGAGUGGCGAACGGGUGAGUAAUGCAUCGGAACGUACCCAGUCGUGGGGGAUAACGUAGCGAAAGUUACGCUAAUACCGCAUACGUCCUGAGGGAGAAAGCGGGGGACCGAAAGGCCUCGCGCGAUUGGAGCGGCCGAUGUCGGAUUAGCUAGUUGGUACGGGUAAAGGCCUACCAAGGCGACGAUCCGUAGCGGGUCUGAGAGGAUGAUCCGCCACACUGGGACUGAGACACGGCCCAGAUUCCUACGGGAGGCAGCAGUGGGGAAUUUUGGACAAUGGGCGCAAGCCUGAUCCAGCCAUGCCGCGUGAGUGAAGAAGGCCCUCGGGUUGUAAAGCUCUUUUGUCCCGGAAGAAAAGCAAUCGGUUAAUACCCGGUUGUUCUGACGGUACCGGAAGAAUAAGCACCGGCUAACUUCGUGCCAGCAGCCGCGGUAA